CGAAGGGGGCUAGCGUUGCUCGGAAUCACUGGGCGUAAAGGGCGCGUAGGCGGCCGAUCAAGUCAGAGGUGAAAGCCCAAGGCUCAACCUUGGAAUUGCCUUUGAUACUGUUCGGCUCGAGACCGGAAGAGGUAAGUGGAACUGCGAGUGUAGAGGUGAAAUUCGUAGAUAUUCGCAAGAACACCAGUGGCGAAGGCGGCUUACUGGUCCGGUUCUGACGCUGAGGCGCGAAAGCGUGGGGAGCAAACAGGAUUAGAUACCCUGGUAGUCCACGCCGUAAACGAUGGAUGCUAGCCGUUGGCAGGCUUGCCUGUCAGUGGCGCAGCUAACGCUUUAAGCAUCCCGCCUGGGGAGUACGGUCGCAAGAUUA
rnacentral:rRNA from 1 species